rnacentral:rRNA from 1 species
GACGAACGCUGGCGGCGUGCUUAACACAUGCAAGUCGAACGGAAAGGCCCUGCUUUUGUGGGGUGCUCGAGUGGCGAACGGGUGAGUAACACGUGAGUAACCUGCUCUUGACUUUGGGAUAACUUCAGGAAACUGGGGCUAAUACCGGAUAGGAGCUCCUGCUGCAUGGUGGGGGUUGGAAAGUUUCGGCGGUUGGGGAUGGACUGGCGGCUUAUCAGCUUGUUGGUGGGGUAGUGGCUUACCAAGGCUUUGACGGGUAGCCGGCCUGAGAGGGUGACCGGCCACAUUGGGACUGAGAUACGGCCCAGACUCCUACGGGAGGCAGCAGUGGGGAAUAUUGCACAAUGGGCGGAAGCCUGAUGCAGCAACGCCGCGUGCGGGAUGACGGCCUUCGGGUUGUAAACCGCUUUCGCCUGUGACGAAGCGUGAGUGACGGUAAUGGGUAAAGAAGCACCGGCUAACUACGUG